GCAGGUACAGGAUGAGCCAUGGGGCCAAGCGCCCAUAGGGAUCACCCCCCAAGAAAGGCUGUCCCUUGUCCCAUGGCAGGCAUGGGCCCUCCAAGCCUGGGGCCCAGAGCAGUGCAGGAGGGAGGCCUGCAGGGAGCAGAGGCUGGAGACUUCUCGGAGAGACAGCCUGGGGCUCUGCGGGAUGGGAGAGCUGACACUACUUUGGCAGAAGGAACCUGGUGGAAUACUAAGAAGGGAAGAUUUUGCUCACAAAGGGAUUGGAUGGGGACUCUUCCUACUGAUGAGAAGAGAAAGCAAGCCAACCCAACUAGGGCUUUGGACUUAACCCGCAGAAAGCCACCAACCAUGCAGAGAAGAUUUGUGGGGUCCUGGUGGGGAUGUGUCCACCAAUGAGCUGAUAAAGGGUGAAAAUCA